ACUGGAGGUUCUGCUAAUGUUUCUAGACCACCCCUGUGUGCCAGGCACGCUAUCAGGCAUUUAAACAUUGGUUCUUGUAUUUAAUUGUCCUGUAAAAUCCUGUUAUGUAGGUUUGAGGAUGCCUAUGUAACAGAUGAGACACCUGAGUCUCAGAUUAAGUGAUCUACCCACAGUUACGCACCAGAGUGUUGAGACUAAGAUUUGAACUCAGAUCUUGUGACACCAAGGCCAUCCUGGUAAGUUGCUGGAUGGCCAUCCCGGAGGAUUAUUAAGUGAUAUAUUGGAAUAAAUGACUCCCAGGGCCUUUCUGAUCCCAAGGUCAUUUUGUGAUUCCUUUAUCACCUAUUUAUCCAUCCACCAUGCUCCCCAAAUAGAUUACAAGCACCUCGAGGGCAAGGAGAGUCUUUCUAGCAAAUAACUAAUGUAGUAUUUGGUAGCCACCUGUCCUUGACUGAUAUGGAUGCUGCCUACUUCCCUGACACAUAGAAACAGGUGAGAAGAGAGGGCCCACUAAGAAAAGCAUUACCGGGAAACUCCAGUCCCAAGAAUUUACCACCUAAAAGUGAAUUAAGGUUUGGGGGUUUCUGUUUUUGUUUUUUGCAAUUUUUCUAACAAUAAAAAAAAAAUGGAAACAAUUUGAAAAUCCAGCCGUAGAGAAUAGGUGGGAAAAUGAUGGUCGAUCUAUAUCAUCAAAUCUCACGGCACCGUUAAAAAGAAUGAGACCUACAGACACUGAAACGGGAUGAUAUUCAUAAUCUACUGUUAAGUGAAGGAAGCAACUUGUAGACUAUGACAUAUGCAUAAUCCUGUGUUUACUUUAAAAAUCAUCCCAAGCUCUAUGUUCGUGUAUGUACAGCAUUGGAACUAGAGGGAUUUGCGCCAAACCUAAGUGGUUCUUGCACUGCAGCGAGAAGGGAGUGGUGCAGGGAUUUCUUUUCUCUAUACACUUUUUGUUUUGUUUAAAUUUUUCUAAUGAACAAGUAUCACAUUUGUAUUUGAAAACAAAAGAAAGAUUUUUUUUAAAGCAGUUUCAGGUAUUAUACAAGGAAGGUAGGAAAGACUAGCCUGAAACCCCUUCCUCUCUCAGGUUCCCUGGGUUGGGACCAGCCCUCAGAUCCCACCCCUUGCCAUAAGCAGCCAGGGCGAGGCCAGUGGUUUUCCCUCUGGUCCAGUUCUGCUGUUUUCCACUCUUUAUUUAUGGGGCCACUUGUGCCCACUAGGAUGUCUUGUAUCCGGCAGGGGUGCAGGCCUUCACCCCCGCGCACACUUGUCACGGGUGCUUAUAAGUAAAAGCAGGGAAGAAGCAGCCAUCCAAGUUGAGGACAACUGGCAGAGGCAUCUUUGAACACCUCCCUGCCUCUUGAGUCAUAACAGAUAAAACUCUCUGUUCCCAGGGCCGAACAAGAAAGGGAAUGAAAUGAAAACCAAAACCAGGAGGGACAAGCUUGCCCAUCUCCUGCUUCCGUUUUAGCAGCCCUGCCCCAGACCUCACUGAUCAGCCCUGGAGGUUCUGGCGAGGUUUCCCGUGUGUGUGGCAUCGGGGGGAGCAGUCAUCACAUAUUUAUGAAGCGCCAGUCACAGAUGUGGACCAGAUGCCUCCUAAACGCUCACCCCAUAGCAAGAGACCCUAGGCUGAUUGAGGCUUGUUUUCACCCUGGAAGUAAUACCCCACAGAGAAUGUCUCUGCAGGGAUAUGUAAGAAACUGGUGAUGGGGGUCCCCUAAGAAGAGCCAGGGAAGGGUGGGAAGGACUUAUACUUCUCAGAGUUCAUCCUUUCUGUAUUUUAUUUUUACCGCUUGGAAACAUUACCUGUUAAGAAAUGAAAACUGGAAAAAGAAAUAAAAUGAAAAUGCAAAAUGAAAACUGGACAGUAAUGAACCCAACUGGUAUCCAUGAGGACACAGGUUUGAUCCCUGGCCUCGCUCAGUGGGUUAAGGGUCCAGCGUUAGGUGAGCUGUGGUGCAGGUCCCAGACACAGUUUGGAUCUGGUGUUGUCGUGGCUGUGGCAUAGGCCCCCAGCUACAGCUCCGAUUCGACCCCUAGCCUGAAAACCUCCAUAUGCUGUGGGUAUAGCCCUAAAACAAAACAAAACAAAACAAUAGUUCUCUUCUUUCGGUGUAUGAUGCAUGAUAUUUUUAGAGUUUGUUCUCCUGCAGGAUUUCAUCUGAGGAGUAAAGAGGGCAAGGAGUGUUAGGAGACCUGGUGCUGUUGGGAGGGGCUUCCUGGAGGUGGAAGGCCUGAGCCCCACCUGGGAAGGACAGGCAGCAGGUUCAGAGUGGCCCACGAGGACAAGGCACACAGAGCGGCCUGGAGGUUGGAGUAGGCAGCGAGGCGUGGGGCGGUCAGGCUGGCCAGAGCCAAACCCUGUGUUUGGGGAAACGGUGAGACAGAUUGUGGACCACAGAGUUGGGACGGGGCCCAUAAGCAGUGCACGGCCAACAGAUGUCUUCAAGCUUGAGGUUAUCUUGAGGACAUGAUGUUUUAAGAUUAGCUCAGCACCAGUAGGGGCCAGGAGGGGUCAGGGAGAUGCUGGACGUGCUAAAGGAAUAGGUGUGCGGUGAUUCUGUGCCUUACACACUUGAGACAGCAGUGUUCUGCACGUGUGGGGCUAGUGAACGUUGGCGGCCAGGGGGUGGGAAUUGGGGGCGGUCAUAAAUUCUAUACCAUGCACAUCAUCCACCCGGCAGUUUGACCUGUGGAAUUGGCAGUGAGACCAAGUUCUUAGAGGCCUGGCAGGUUUCUAUUUUAUAACCGAUCUGUAUACACCCCUUGCCCUUGAUAGGCAGAGGCUGGCCCAGUGUGGCCCAGUAGCCAGGCAAGCUGAAGGCUUAAAAGAGGAAGCAUCAGAAUGAGAUUGGUUUUCAGCUAAUAUCUUAUUAAGGAAGUUGAGUCAUUCUACUUCUGCUAUUUGUCCCCUCUGGGCAUUCAGAGAAGGACAAGUUUUUACUUCCAGAUGCAGUAUCAUGAGAGGGAUUUGCCCUGGUCUGCCCUGGCUCUUAAGUGAUCAUUUUCAUCAUGGCCCUAUAUUUCUCUUUUAUGCACAGCAAACCAAGGCUCAGAGCGUUGGAUGCUUACAUAAGGCUCAACCAUACCUUGGCUGUAUGGUACUAAAAUAGAGAGAAGUCCCAUUGUCUCAGUGAUGGCGUUUUAUGAGCUUGAUGACAAGCAAGGAAAUGAAUUUUCCUUUAGUACCUUCUGUUCGCCAGGCAAGCUCAUUGGCAUUUCUGCCUCACUUAAUCCUCAAAACAAUUCCGAAGAAGCUAAGACACUCAGUGGGCUGCUCAAGAUUUAGCAUGAAGGCUGGGGAAGCAGCAACAAGGGCUCAGCCCUACCUCUGCAACCUGUUACUGUGGGAGUGCCCUGGCAGGCUACCGAACCCUAAGCCUCGGUUUUCACAUCUGAAAUUGACAUUAAUAAUAGUGGGGCUGGGAGUUCCCUGGUGGCAUAGAGGUUAAGGACCUGGUGUCGCUCCUGUGGCUCGGGUCACUGCUGUAAGUGCGAAUUUGAUCUCUGGCCCAGGCGUGGCCAAAAAAUGAUGGUAAGGUGGGGCUUAGUAAAUAUUGACAAUUAUCCUUCUGAAUCGGCAUCAUUGCCCCCUCAAAUAAUCCUGACCAAUCAGUGCCAUUUGGGGAACUCGAAGGAACCUCGAAAGAUUUCCUAGGCCACUGGUUUUCACACGCUUUUCCUUGGAGACCUAGGAUACCGGAGAAGUCCUUGGUAGCUGAAGAGAAGUGGAGUAUGUGUGGCCCUGACCUCUCUCUUCAGCAGAGCAGCUGUUUCUGAAGCGAGUUACUACUUAUCAUGUGCAUGCUCCCAGCCCUUACAUAUUGGGGAUUGAGGGAUGAUUUCAUUUAAUAAAAAGGAUGGUCCUGCUGCU
ensembl:lncRNA